rnacentral:rRNA from 1 species
AUUGAACGCUGGCGGCAGGCCUAACACAUGCAAGUCGAGCGGAUGAAGGGAGCUUGCUCCUGGAUUCAGCGGCGGACGGGUGAGUAAUGCCUAGGAAUCUGCCUGGUAGUGGGGGAUAACGUCCGGAAACGGGCGCUAAUACCGCAUACGUCCUGAGGGAGAAAGUGGGGGAUCUUCGGACCUCACGCUAUCAGAUGAGCCUAGGUCGGAUUAGCUAGUUGGUGGGGUAAAGGCCUACCAAGGCGACGAUCCGUAACUGGUCUGAGAGGAUGAUCAGUCACACUGGAACUGAGACACGGUCCAGACUCCUACGGGAGGCAGCAGUGGGGAAUAUUGGACAAUGGGCGAAAGCCUGAUCCAGCCAUGCCGCGUGUGUGAAGAAGGUCUUCGGAUUGUAAAGCACUUUAAGUUGGGAGGAAGGGCAGUAAGUUAACACCUUGCUGUUUUGACGUUACCAACAGAAUAAGCACCGGUUAACUUCGUG